rnacentral:rRNA from 1 species
AGAACGAACGCUGGCGGCAUGCCUAACACAUGCAAGUCGAACGAGACCUUCGGGUCUAGUGGCGCACGGGUGCGUAACGCGUGGGAAUCUGCCCUUGGGUACGGAAUAACAGUGGGAAACUACUGCUAAUACCGUAUAAUGACUUCGGUCCAAAGAUUUAUCGCCCAGGGAUGAGCCCGCGUAGGAUUAGCUUGUUGGUGAGGUAAAAGCUCACCAAGGCGACGAUCCUUAGCUGGUCUGAGAGGAUGAUCAGCCACACUGGGACUGAGACACGGCCCAGACUCCUACGGGAGGCAGCAGUGGGGAUAUUGGACAAUGGGCGAAAGCCUGAUCCAGCAAUGCCGCGUGAGUGAUGAAGGCCUUAGGGUUGUAAACCCCUUUCGGCAGGGAAGAAGCGCAAGUGACGGUACCUGCAGAAGAAGUCCCGGCUAACUACGUGCCAGCAGCCGC